GUGGGGAAUAUUGGACAAUGGGGGGAACCCUGAUCCAGCCAUGCCGCGUGUGUGAAGAAGGCCUUUUGGUUGUAAAGCACUUUAAGCGAGGAGGAGGCUACCGAGAUUAAUACUCUUGGAUAGUGGACGUUACUCGCAGAAUAAGCACCGGCUAACUCUGUGCCAGCAGCCGCGGUAAUACAGAGGGUGCAAGCGUUAAUCGGAUUUACUGGUCGUAAAGCGCGCGUAGGUGGCCAAUUAAGUCAAAUGUGAAAUCCCCGAGCUUAACUUGGGAAUUGCAUUCGAUACUGGUUGGCUAGAGUAUGGGAGAGGAUGGUAGAAUUCCAGGUGUAGCGGUGAAAUGCGUAGAGAUCUGGAGGAAUACCGAUGGCGAAGGCAGCCAUCUGGCCUAAUACUGACACUGAGGUGCGAAAGCAUGGGGAGCAAACAGGAUUAGAUACCCUUGUAGUCC
rnacentral:rRNA from 1 species